CAAGGUUAAAACUCAAAUGAAUUGACGGGGGCCCGCACAAGCGGUGGAGCAUGUGGUUUAAUUCGAUGCAACGGCGAAGAACCUUACCUACUCUUGACAUCCAGAGAACUUUCCAGAGAUGGAUUGGUGCCUUCGGGAACUCUGAGACAGGUGCUGCAUGGCUGUCGUCAGCUCGUGUUGUGAAAUGUUGGGUUAAGUCCCGCAACGAGCGCAACCCUUAUCCUUUGUUGCCAGCGGUUCGGCCGGGAACUCAAAGGAGACUGCCAGUGAUAAACUGGAGGAAGGUGGGGAUGACGUCAAGUCAUCAUGGCCCUUACGAGUAGGGCUACACACGUGCUACAAUGGCGCAUACAAAGAGAAGCGACCUCGCGAGAGCAAGCGGACCUCAUAAANUGCGUCGUAGUCCGGAUUGGAGUCUGCAACUCGACUCCAUGAAGUCGGAAUCG
rnacentral:rRNA from 1 species